rnacentral:rRNA from 1 species
UACGUAGGGGGCUAGCGUUGUCCGGAAUCAUUGGGCGUAAAGCGCGUGUAGGCGGCCCGGUAAGUCCGCUGUGAAAGUCGGGGGCUCAACCCUCGGAUGCCGGUGGAUACUGUCGGGCUUGAGUGCGGAAGAGGCGAGUGGAAUUCCUGGUGUAGCGGUGAAAUGCGCAGAUAUCAGGAGGAACACCGAUUGCGAAGGCAGCUCGCUGGGACGUGACUGACGCUGAGACGCGAAAGCGUGGGGAGCAAACAGG